UACGGAGGGUGCAAGCGUUAUCCGGAUUCACUGGGUUUAAAGGGUGCGUAGGUGGGCAGGUAAGUCAGUGGUGAAAUCUCUGGGCUUAACCCGGAAACUGCCGUUGAUACUAUCUGUCUUGAAUGUAGUGGAGGUGAGCGGAAUAUGUCAUGUAGCGGUGAAAUGCUUAGAUAUGACAUAGAACACCCAUUGCGAAGGCAGCUCGCUACACUAUUAUUGACACUGAGGCACGAAAAGCGUGGGGAUCAAACAGG
rnacentral:rRNA from 1 species